CAUGCAAGUCGAACGAUGACUAUCUAGCUUGCUAGAUAUGAUUAGUGGCGAACGGGUGAGUAAUGCUUAGGAAUCUGCCUAGUAGUGGGGGAUAACUAUCCGAAAGGAUAGCUAAUACCGCAUACGACCUACGGGUGAAAGGGGGCUUUUAGCUCUCGCUAUUAGAUGAGCCUAAGUCGGAUUAGCUAGUUGGUGGGGUAAAGGCCUACCAAGGCGACGAUCUGUAGCUGGUCUGAGAGGAUGAUCAGCCACACUGGGACUGAGACACGGCCCAGACUCCUACGGGAGGCAGCAGUGGGGAAUAUUGGACAAUGGGCGAAAGCCUGAUCCAGCCAUGCCGCGUGUGUGAAGAAGGCCUUUUGGUUGUAAAGCACUUUAAGUAGGGAGGAAAAGCUUGUGGUUAAUACCCACAAGCCCUGACGUUACCUACAGAAUAAGCMCCGGCUAA
rnacentral:rRNA from 1 species